CAACCUUUUAUUCUCAGAAUAGACUAUUCCAGUUUUUACAGACUUAUACGGAAGGUUUAGAUUCAGUUAGCUUCAGCCUCGCCAGAACUAAAGCGCUAGUAAAUAUGGGGUGGUGUGGAGGGGAGACUAGAACACCUGCUGAGAGACUUCUUUAUGGGACAGAGAAGCUGCACCGGCGACAUUGCAGCAAUAUGGUUGCCUAAACAAGGCCUGAGCAGUGACACCACCAGGUGACGCCAAGGAGGAGGCGGAAAAUCACACAAGGCCCCGCCCCUAGAUGAAGAGCUUCAGGCAGUUAAUGGCUGCUGAGAGAGAAUCAGUGUUCCUCAGGGAGGAGUCCUCUUACUUGGACUUUCCAACACCACAGUGCUCAGUCCUAAAACCAUAUUCAUUGGAGCAACACUGAAUUAACUCAGCAGGUUGCGUUUAUAUGCUUAUACAUAUUAACAAUUAAAAACAAGUAGUAUUAUAUAAUGUGUAACGCAAACCAGAAACAAUCAAAUCUGAAAAGGAAGCCUAUUUUCCAAACUCACCAAUAAGGAUGAAAUGGCAACUGGGCUGAGGUUGAGAAACUUGGAUUACUGGUCGCCCAUAGGCCCCGCCCCGGCCCCGCCCCCACAACCCUUGGAGCUAGUCCCGUAACCAAGGCAACGAACGCACUGGCUGGGUCGGGUGGGGAAGCUGACUCAUGCAGGCUGACGGUCACGCGUGGGCUCAUAGUGUGCGCUGCGGCAGCCUGGGCAUCUCACAUGCCCCACCGCGACUGUGUAGCUGCUGAAUCCUCAGCCAGUCCUAGUGGUCCGCCACUCGGGGCCUUCCCCUCGCAGCUUGUGCUUCGGGCGUUAACACUAAGAGAGACACAUCAGCUUCUGGCAGCACCCCCAUCCUAUUCCAAAGAAAAUGAGGACGAAAGAAAGAAUAUCUACCUGGAGUUUGCUUCAAAUGUGGCCAUUGGUCAAAAAAGAACUGUCCCUUACCUCGACUGCUGACAGCAUGCUGUCUAAACUUGGACAAGCAGGAGAUUGGGAAGCCAAUUGCCCAACUUUGCAGAGACCAGGUAAGCUGUCACAGUCUGAGGACACUCAAGGUCUAGAGAGAGGACCAGAAGGAAUGUGGGUUGUCAUGGCAACCGCUGUCCGUGUCUGCCAUCUUAGAGGUGAGUCCUCCAAUUCCAGUCUUGCAUCAGACAUUUGCAGCCCCGGCCGAUUGUCUGACUGCAACACAACAAAGCGACUCUUGGACUGUGACACAUAGAAAGUGAGAGAAUGUUUAAGGAAGCGAAAUGUUUGGAGCCAGCUCAGCAGGUAAAGAUGGGGGACACCAAUACCAAGCCUGAUCACCUACCUGACUUCAGUCUCCAGGACCCACAUGGAAGAAGCAGAAACCAGACUUCCAUAAAUUCUCCUCACACCUUGACACUUGCCCUGUGGAGUGUUCAUGUUCAUACACAGACAGAUAUACAGACACACACAUACAUGCACCCACUCAUAUAUGCACACAUGCACACAUACAAGCACCCACCCACAUACACACACACACAUGCACACACACACAUACACAUACACACACAAAAUAAAUAAAAUUUAGUGUUACUAGGUAUAGUUUGG
ensembl:lncRNA